rnacentral:rRNA from 1 species
AGCGCAGGCGGGAAACUAAGCGGAUCUUAAAAGUGCGGGGCUCAACCCCGUGAUGGGGUCCGAACUGGUUUUCUUGAGUGCAGGAGAGGAAAGCGGAAUUCCCAGUGUAGCGGUGAAAUGCGUAGAUAUUGGGAAGAACACCAGUGGCGAAGGCGGCUUUCUGGACUGUAACUGACGCUGAGGCUCGAAAGCUAGGGUAGCGAAAG